AAACUAAAUCCAGGUGAUUUGAAAGCUGAGAACCGUAUGUACUAUGGUGACCACAGAGCAAAAUGGAAACAGUGGGAGGCUGAUAUAUUUGUGGUUUUGUUGACUGAUCGUUUUCUAUGUUAUUUUCUGUAGGUGAGAAGCCAUUUAAGUGUGAAUUUGAAGGCUGUGACAGACGCUUCGCCAACAGUAGCGACAGGAAGAAGCACAUGCAUGUCCAUACUUCAGACAAGCCCUAUCUAUGCAAAAUGUGCGACAAGUCCUACACACACCCAAGCUCUCUACGGAAACACAUGAAAGUCCACGAGUCCUCCCAAGCCUCGGAUUCCUCGCCAGCUGCCAGUUCUGGUUACGAAUCAUCUACUCCCCCGGUCCUGGUUUCUCCAUCCACCGAACCCCAAAACAACAACUUAUCUCCAGCCUCCUCUGCUGUGCACAGUAACGGUGGCAUUUCCUCUAAUUUUAAUGAAUGGUACGUUUAGAUAUUGCAGGUCCAAAUGAGAAAGAGAGUGAGAGAGAGAGCUCAGCGUUUGUGCUGAAUUAAUUAAAAAGAAAAAAAUAAUUUAAACAGAACUUUCCCUAAAAUGUGUAUAAAAGGAAAACGGAGAACGCUAUAAUCAUCAUAUAAGCAAUAGUACCAGAGAUUUCGCUGAAGUGAAGAUCAAAUGUUAUUUAUGUCCUACUGAACAAACCUUUUGGGUAUUUUACAACUUUGUACAUAAGGAAUUGCUGCCUAUCAGCUGAAUGAUACCUGGGAUUCUUGAUGUAGAUUGUCCAUUAAAUGGUAGCUAUGGAUUUCUUUCUCGAGGUGACACACAUUUCCUAUUAGCGCACAAAAUGGAAACAAAAAGGACAAAAUAAUGAUUUCCUUCUCGUUGUAUUUUAAUGCUGAAAAUCUAUGUCACCUUUUCAGGGCGACCGAUUGUAAAACUUCAUGAAAUCAUAUAAAAUGGAAACUGUGCCAAAGUCAAGUUACAGUUCACAAACACAGAAACGCAGAUAAUUGCUUGUGAAUGUAUUUUUUUCCUGUUAGCUGGGGUUUAUCUCGUGAUGUUUUGUGCUUUGCAAGUUUGAAUUGUGAAAUACUAUUGGAAGAUUGUGAAAAAAGGUUGUGCCGUUAACUUUUGUAACAACGAUAUUCAUUCUGUAAAUAACCGCGUUACCAUAUUUAUCCAUUUGUAAUUAAAUUAUGGUAUUAACUUGCUACAGAUGAAACGAUAUUUAUAAAGAAUGUUUCUUAACUAUAAAUAUGUACAAUUGUGAGUUAAACAUGAAAUCAUUCAGAUUUGUUUUUUUUAUUUCUAGAUAAAGAAUGUUUUUCUCAUUUCUUGUGCGAUGUCCUGAGAUCAUUAACAGCAUACAUAUAUAUAAUAAAAUGUGUUGCAAGUGUAAA